rnacentral:lncRNA from 1 species
UUGGAAAGAAUUACAAGUUUAUAGCAAUACAAGGGAGACACUAAUUAUCACCAGCAAUAGCUGCCAAUGAAUGGCACAAUGAAUGUUCCAAUUAUACCAAAAGGAACAACAACAACAACAACAAAAAUUUCAAACCUCAAACAGAACUCAAUACAAUGCUCCCUACAAAACCUUAAUCUUCUUAACAUUUUCUGAACACUGAUCACAAUUUAUAGUAGAUGUGUCAGCACCCAUGAUCCUAUCCCUCAUACCAAAGAUGAACCUCG